GGGUUGUGAGGUUAAGCGACUAAGCGUACACGGUGGAUGCCCUGGCAGUCAGAGGCGAUGAAGGACGUGCUAAUCUGCGAUAAGCGUCGGUAAGGUGAUAUGAACCGUUAUAACCGGCGAUUUCCGAAUGGGGAAACCCAGUGUGAUUCGUCACACUAUCAUUAACUGAAUCCAUAGGUUAAUGAGGCGAACCGGGGGAACUGAAACAUCUAAGUACCCCGAGGAAAAGAAAUCAACCGAGAUUCCCCCAGUAGCGGCGAGCGAACGGGGAGCAGCCCAGAGCCUGAAUCAGUGUGUGUGUUAGUGGAAGCGUCUGGAAAGGCGCGCGAUACAGGGUGACAGCCCCGUACACAAAAAUGCACAUGCUGUGAGCUCGAUGAGUAGGGCGGGACACGUGGUAUCCUGUCUGAAUAUGGGGGGACCAUCCUCCAAGGCUAAAUACUCCUGACUGACCGAUAGUGAACCAGUACCGUGAGGGAAAGGCGAAAAGAACCCCGGCGAGGGGAGUGAAAAAGAACCUGAAACCGUGUACGUACAAGCAGUGGGAGCCUCUUUAUGGGGUGACUGCGUACCUUUUGUAUAAUGGGUCAGCGACUUAUAUUCUGUAGCAAGGUUAACCGAAUAGGGGAGCCGAAGGGAAACCGAGUCUUAACUGGGCGUUAAGUUGCAGGGUAUAGACCCGAAACCCGGUGAUCUAGCCAUGGGCAGGUUGAAGGUUGGGUAACACUAACUGGAGGACCGAACCGACUAAUGUUGAAAAAUUAGCGGAUGACUUGUGGCUGGGGGUGAAAGGCCAAUCAAACCGGGAGAUAGCUGGUUCUCCCCGAAAGCUAUUUAGGUAGCGCCUCGUGAAUUCAUCUCCGGGGGUAGAGCACUGUUUCGGCAAGGGGGUCAUCCCGACUUACCAACCCGAUGCAAACUGCGAAUACCGGAGAAUGUUAUCACGGGAGACACACGGCGGGUGCUAACGUCCGUCGUGAAGAGGGAAACAACCCAGACCGCCAGCUAAGGUCCCAAAGUCAUGGUUAAGUGGGAAACGAUGUGGGAAGGCCCAGACAGCCAGGAUGUUGGCUUAGAAGCAGCCAUCAUUUAAAGAAAGCGUAAUAGCUCACUGGUCGAGUCGGCCUGCGCGGAAGAUGUAACGGGGCUAAACCAUGCACCGAAGCUGCGGCAGCGACGCUUAUGCGUUGUUGGGUAGGGGAGCGUUCUGUAAGCCUGUGAAGGUGUGCUGUGAGGCAUGCUGGAGGUAUCAGAAGUGCGAAUGCUGACAUAAGUAACGAUAAAGCGGGUGAAAAGCCCGCUCGCCGGAAGACCAAGGGUUCCUGUCCAACGUUAAUCGGGGCAGGGUGAGUCGACCCCUAAGGCGAGGCCGAAAGGCGUAGUCGAUGGGAAACAGGUUAAUAUUCCUGUACUUGGUGUUACUGCGAAGGGGGGACGGAGAAGGCUAUGUUGGCCGGGCGACGGUUGUCCCGGUUUAAGCGUGUAGGCUGGUUUUCCAGGCAAAUCCGGAAAAUCAAGGCUGAGGCGUGAUGACGAGGCACUACGGUGCUGAAGCAACAAAUGCCCUGCUUCCAGGAAAAGCCUCUAAGCAUCAGGUAACAUCAAAUCGUACCCCAAACCGACACAGGUGGUCAGGUAGAGAAUACCAAGGCGCUUGAGAGAACUCGGGUGAAGGAACUAGGCAAAAUGGUGCCGUAACUUCGGGAGAAGGCACGCUGAUAUGUAGGUGAGGUCCCUCGCGGAUGGAGCUGAAAUCAGUCGAAGAUACCAGCUGGCUGCAACUGUUUAUUAAAAACACAGCACUGUGCAAACACGAAAGUGGACGUAUACGGUGUGACGCCUGCCCGGUGCCGGAAGGUUAAUUGAUGGGGUUAGCGGUAACGCGAAGCUCUUGAUCGAAGCCCCGGUAAACGGCGGCCGUAACUAUAACGGUCCUAAGGUAGCGAAAUUCCUUGUCGGGUAAGUUCCGACCUGCACGAAUGGCGUAAUGAUGGCCAGGCUGUCUCCACCCGAGACUCAGUGAAAUUGAACUCGCUGUGAAGAUGCAGUGUACCCGCGGCAAGACGGAAAGACCCCGUGAACCUUUACUAUAGCUUGACACUGAACAUUGAGCCUUGAUGUGUAGGAUAGGUGGGAGGCUUUGAAGUGUGGACGCCAGUCUGCAUGGAGCCGACCUUGAAAUACCACCCUUUAAUGUUUGAUGUUCUAACGUUGACCCGUAAUCCGGGUUGCGGACAGUGUCUGGUGGGUAGUUUGACUGGGGCGGUCUCCUCCUAAAGAGUAACGGAGGAGCACGAAGGUUGGCUAAUCCUGGUCGGACAUCAGGAGGUUAGUGCAAUGGCAUAAGCCAGCUUGACUGCGAGCGUGACGGCGCGAGCAGGUGCGAAAGCAGGUCAUAGUGAUCCGGUGGUUCUGAAUGGAAGGGCCAUCGCUCAACGGAUAAAAGGUACUCCGGGGAUAACAGGCUGAUACCGCCCAAGAGUUCAUAUCGACGGCGGUGUUUGGCACCUCGAUGUCGGCUCAUCACAUCCUGGGGCUGAAGUAGGUCCCAAGGGUAUGGCUGUUCGCCAUUUAAAGUGGUACGCGAGCUGGGUUUAGAACGUCGUGAGACAGUUCGGUCCCUAUCUGCCGUGGGCGCUGGAGAACUGAGGGGGGCUGCUCCUAGUACGAGAGGACCGGAGUGGACGCAUCACUGGUGUUCGGGUUGUCAUGCCAAUGGCACUG
rnacentral:rRNA from 1 species